AGUUCCUACAAAGGUUUUGGACAGUGAUUUUAAACCUAACGCCAAAACGUUAAACCUUACCAUAGCCCCAUAACCUAAUACCCGGGUAUUACUUUUAGGAAGCCUGAACACCCCAAAUAUUUUUUUUUCAUUUUUCUUUUUUUUUUGGUCUAACUAACUCCAAAAGGUUGGAAAAGAGUUCCUACAAAGGUUUUGGACAGUGAUUUUAACCCUAACGCCAAAACCCUUAAACCUUUCCCUAGUCCCAAAACCUAAUACACGGGUAUUACUUUCAGGGAGCCCGAAAACCCCCAAUAAUAUAUUUUUUUUUUUCUUAUUUUUUGGUCUAACUAACUCCAAAAGGUUGGAAAAGAGUUCCUACAAAGGUUUUGGACAGUGAUUUUAACCCUAACGCCAAAAACCUUAAACCUUACCCUAUGCCUUGAAAUCUAAUACCCGGGUAUUACCUUCAGGAAGCCUGAACACCCCAAAUAUUUUUUUCUUCAUUUUACAUUUUUGUUGGUGUAACCAACUCCAAAAGGUUGGAAAAGAGUUCCUACAAAUGUUUUGGACAGUGAUUUUAACCCUAAUGCCCAAAAACUUAAUCCUUACCCUAGCCUCAAAAUCUAAUACCCGGGUAUUACAUUCAGGAACCCCGAAAACCCCAAAUAUUGUUUUUUAAUUUUUCAUUUUUUUUUGGUCUAACUAACUCCAAAAGGUUGGAAAAGAGUUCCUACAAAGGUUUUGGACAGUGAUUUUAACCCUAACGCCAAAAAACUUAAACCUUACCCAUAGCCCCAUAACCUAAUACCCGGGUAUUACUUUUAGGAAGCCUGAACACCCCAAAUAUUUUUUUUUCAUUUUUCUUUUUUUUUGGUCUAACCAACUCCAAAAGGUUGGAAAAGAGUUCCUACAAAGGUUUUGGACAGUGAUUUUAACCCUAACGCCAAAAAACUUAAACCUUACCCUGGCCUUAAAAUCUAAUACCCGGGUAUUACAUUCAGGAAGCCCGAACACCCCAAAUAUUUUUUUUUUCAUUUUACAUUUUUUUUGGUGUAACCAACUCCAAAAGGUUGGAAAAGAGUUCCUACAAAGGUUUUGGACAGUGAUUUUAACCCUAACGCCAAAAAACUUAAACCUUUCCAUAGCCCCAUAACCUAAUACCCAGGUAUUACUUUUAGGAAGCCUGAACACCCCAAAUAUUUUUUUUUUCAUUUUUCUUUUUUUUUUGGUCUAACUAACUCCAAAAGGUUGGAAAAGAGUUCCUACAAAGGUUUUGGACAGUGAUUUUAACCCUAACGCCAAAAACCUUAAACCUUACCCUGGCCUUAAAAUCUAAUACCCGGGUAUUACAUUCAGGAAGCCCUAACACCCCAAAUAUUUUUUUUUUUCAUUUUUCUUUUUUUUUUUGGUCUAACUAACUCCAAAAGGUUGGAAAAGAGUUCCUACAAAGGUUUUGGACAGUGAUUUUAACCCUAACGCCAAAAACCUUAAACCUUACCCUAGCCCCAUAACCUAAUACCCGGGUAUUACUUUUAGGAAGCCUGAACACCCCAAAUAUUUUUUUUUCAUUUUUCUUUUUUUUUUUGGUCUAACUAACUCCAAAGGUUGGAAAAGAGUUCCUACAAAGGUUUUGGACAGUGAUUUUAACCCUAACGCCAAAAACCUUAAACCUUUCCCUAGUCCCAAAACCUAAUACACGGGUAUUACUUUCAGGGAGCCCGAAAACCCCCAAUAAUAUUUUUUUCUUUUUUCAUAUUUUUUGGUCUAACUAACUCCAAAAGGUUGGAAAAGAGUUCCUACAAAGGUUUUGGACAGUGAUUUUAACCCUAACGCCAAAAACCUUAAACCUUACCCUAGCCUUAAAUCUAAUACCCGGGUAUUACUUCAGGAAGCCUGAACACCCCAAAUAUUUUUUUUUCAUUUUUCAUUUUUUUUGGUCUAACUAACUCCAAAAGGUUGGAAAAGAGUUCCUACAAAGGUUUUGGACAGUGAUUUUAACCCUAACGCCAAAAAACUUAAACCUUACCCAUAGCCCCAUAACCUAAUACCCGGGUAUUACUUUUAGGAAGCCUGAACACCCCAAAUAUUUUUUUUUCAUUUUUCUUUUUUUUUUUGGUCUAACCAACUCCAAAAGGUUGGAAAAGUGUUCCUACAAAGGUUUUGGACAGUGAUUUUAACCCUAACGCCAAAAAACUUAAACCUUACCCUGGCCUUAAAAUCUAAUACCAGGGUAUUACUUUCAGGAAGCCCGAACACCCCAAAUAUUUUUUUUUUUUUCAUUUUACAUUUUUUUUGGUGUAACCAACUCCAAAAGGUUGGAAAAGAGUUCCUACAAAGGUUUUGGACAGUGAUUUUAACCCUAACGCCAAAAAACUUAAACCUUACCAUAGCCCCAAAACCUAAUACCCGGGUAUUACUUUCAGGGAGCCCGAAAACCCCCAAUAAUAUUUUUUUCUUUUUUCAUAUUUUUUUUUGGUCUAACUAACUCCAAAAGGUUGGAAAAGAGUUCCUACAAAGGUUUUGGACAGUGAUUUUAACCCUAACGCCAAAAAACUUAAACCUUACCCAUAGCCCCAUAACCUAAUACCCGGGUAUUACUUUUAGGAAGCCUGAACACCCCAAAUAUUUUUUUUUUAAUUUUUCUUUUUUUUGGUCUAACCAACUCCAAAAGGUUGGAAAAGAGUUCCUACAAAGGUUUUGGACAGUGAUUUUAACCCUAACGCCAAAAAACUUAAACCUUACCCUAGCCUUAAAAUCUAAUACCCGGGUAUUACAUUCAGGAAGCCCGAACACCCCAAAUAUUUUUUUUUCAUUUUACAUUUUUUUUGGUCUAACUAACUCCAAAAGGUUGGAAAAGAGUUCCUACAAAGGUUUUGGACAGUGAUUUUAACCCUAACGCCAAAAACCUUAAACCUUACCAUAGCCCCAUAACCUAAUACCCGGGUAUUACUUUUAGGAAGCCUGAACACCCCAAAUAUUUUUUUUUCAUUUUUCUUUUUUUUUGGUCUAACUAACUCCAAAAGGUUGGAAAAGAGUUCCUACAAAGGUUUUGGACAGUGAUUUUAACCCUAACGCCAAAAAACUUAAACCUUACCCUAGCCUUAAAAUCUAAUACCCGGGUAUUACUUUCAGGAAGCCCGAAACCCCAAAUAUUUUUUUUUUAUUUUUCAUUUUUUUUUGGUCUAACUAACUCCAAAAGGUUGGAAAAGAGUUCCUACAAAGGUUUUGGACAGUGAUUUUAACCCUAACGCCAAAAACCUUAAACCUUACCCUAGCCCCCUAACCUAAUACCUGGGUAUUACUUUUAGGAAGCCUGAACACCCCAAAUAUUUUUUUUUCAUUUUUCUUUUUUUUUUUUGGUCUAACUAACUCCAAAAGGUUGGAAAAGAGUUCCUACAAAGGUUUUGGACAGUGAUUUUAACCCUAACGCCAAAAACCUUAAACCUUUCCCCAGUCACAAAACCUAAUACCCGGGUAUUACUUUCAGGGAGCCCGAAAACCCCCAAUAAUAUUUUUUUCAUUUUUCUUUUUUUUUUGGUCUAACUAACUCCAAAAGGUUGGAAAAGAGUUCCUACAAAGGUUUUGGACAGUGAUUUUAACCCUAACGCCAAAAACCUUAAACCUUACCCUAGCCUUAAAUCUAAUACCCGGGUAUUACUUCAGGAAGCCUGAACACCCCAAAUAUUUUUUUUUCAUUUUUCAUUUUUUUGGUCUAACUAACUCCAAAAGGUUGGAAAAGAGUUCCUACAAAGGUUUUGGACAGUGAUUUUAACCCUAACGCCAAAAACCUUAAACCUUACCCUAGCCCCAAAACCUAAUACCCGGGUAUUACUUUCAGGAGCCCGAAAACCCCCAAUAAUAUUUUUUUCAUUUUUCUUUUUUUUUGGUCUAACUAACUCCAAAAGGUUGGAAAAGAGUUCCUACAAAGGUUUUGGACAGUGAUUUUAACCCUAACGCCAAAAACCUUAAACCUUACCCUAGCCUUAAAAUCUAAUACCCAGGUAUUACCUUCAGGAAGCCUGAACACCCCAAAUAUUUUUUUCUUCAUUUUACAUUUUUGUUGGUGUAACCAACUCCAAAAGGUUGGAAAAGAGUUCCUACAAAGGUUUUGGACAGUGAUUUUAACCCUAAUGCCAAAAAACUUAAACCUUUCCCUAGCCUUAAAAUCUAAUACCCAGGUAUUACUUUUAGGAAGCCUGAACACCCCAAAUAUUUUUUUCUUCAUUUUACAUUUUUGUUGGUGUAACCAACUCCAAAAGGUUGGAAAAGAGUUCCUACAAAGGUUUUGGACAGUGAUUUUAACCCUAACGCCAAAAAACUUAAACCUUACCCUAGCCUUAAAAUCUAAUACCCAGGUAUUACUUUUAGGAAGCCUGAACACCCCAAAUAUUUUUUUUUCAUUUUUUUUUUUUUUUGGUCUAACUAACUCCAAAAGGUUGGAAAAGAGUUCCUACAAAGGUUUUGGACAGUGAUUUUAACCCUAACGCCAAAAACUUAAACCUUACCCUAGCCCCAAAACCUAAUACCCGGGUAUUACUUUCAGGAAGCCUGAACACCCCAAAUAUUUUUUUUUUCAUUUUUCAUUUUUUUUGGUCUAACUAACUCCAAAAGGUUGGAAAAGAGUUCCUACAAAGGUUUUGGACAGUGAUUUUAACCCUAACGCCAAAAACCUUAAACCUUACCAUAGCCCCAUAACCUAAUACCCGGGUAUUACUUUUAGGAAGCCUGAACACCCCAAAUAUUUUUUUUUCAUUUUUCUUUUUUUUGGUCUAACUAACUCCAAAAGGUUGGAAAAGAGUUCCUACAAAGGUUUUGGACAGUGAUUUUAACCCUAACGCCAAAAAACUUAAACCUUACCAUAGCCCCAUAACCUAAUACCUGGGUAUUACUUUUAGGAAGCCUGAACACCCCAAAUAUUUUUUUUUUCAUUUUACAUUUUUUUUGGUCUAACUAACUCCAAAAGGUUGGAAAAGAGUUCCUACAAAGGUUUUGGACAGUGAUUUUAACCCUAACGCCAAAAACUUAAACCUUACCCUAGCCUUAAAAUCUAAUACCCGGGUAUUACUUUCAGGAAGCCCGAACACCCCAAAUAUUUUUUUUUCAUUUUUUUUUUUUUUGGUCUAACUAACUCCAAAAGGUUGGAAAAGAGUUCCUACAAAGGUUUUGGACAGUGAUUUUAACCCUAACGCCAAAAACCUUAAACCUUACCAUAGCCCCAUAACCUAAUACCCGGGUAUUACUUUUAGGAAGCCUGAACACCCCAAAUAUUUUUUUUUCAUUUUUCUUUUUUUUUUGGUCUAACUAACUCCAAAAGGUUGGAAAAGAGUUCCUACAAAGGUUUUGGACAGUGAUUUUAACCCUAACGCCAAAAACCUUAAACCUUUCCCCAGUCACAAAACCUAAUACCCGGGUAUUACUUUUAGGAAGCCUGAACACCCCAAAUAUUUUUUUCUUCAUUUUUCUUUUUUUUUUGGUCUAACUAACUCCAAAAGGUUGGAAAAGAGUUCCUACAAAGGUUUUGGACAGUGAUUUUAACCCUAACGCCAAAAACCUUAAACCUUUCCCCAGUCACAAAACCUAAUACCCGGGUAUUACUUUCAGGGAGCCCGAAAACCCCCAAUAAUAUUUUUUUCAUUUUUCUUUUUUUUUUGGUCUAACUAACUCCAAAAGGUUGGAAAAGAGUUCCUACAAAGGUUUUGGACAGUGAUUUUAACCCUAACGCCAAAAACCUUAAACCUUACCCUAGCCUUAAAAUCUAAUACCCAGGUAUUACCUUCAGGAAGCCUGAACACCCCAAAUAUUUUUUUUUCAUUUUUUUUUUUUUUUUGGUCUAACUAACUCCAAAAGGUUGGAAAAGAGUUCCUACAAAGGUUUUGGACAGUGAUUUUAACCCUAACGCCAAAAACCUUAAACCUUACCCUAGCCUUAAAAUCUAAUACCCAGGUAUUACUUUUAGGAAGCCUGAACACCCCAAAUAUUUUUUUUUCAUUUUUUUUUUUUUUGGUCUAACUAACUCCAAAAGGUUGGAAAAGAGUUCCUACAAAGGUUUUGGACAGUGAUUUUAACCCUAACGCCAAAAAACUUAAACCUUACCCUAGCCUUAAAAUCUAAUACCCAGGUAUUACUUUUAGGAAGCCUGAACACCCCAAAUAUUUUUUUUUCAUUUUUUUUUUUUUUUGGUCUAACUAACUCCAAAAGGUUGGAAAAGAGUUCCUACAAAGGUUUUGGACAGUGAUUUUAACCCUAACGCCAAAAAACUUAAACCUUACCAUAGCCCCAUAACCUAAUACCCGGGUAUUACUUUCAGGAAGCCUGAACACCCCAAAUAUUUUUUUUUCAUUUUUCUUUUUUUUGGUCUAACUAACUCCAAAAGGUUGGAAAAGAGUUCCUACAAAGGUUUUGGACAGUGAUUUUAACCCUAACGCCAAAAAACUUAAACCUUACCCUAGCCUUAAAAUCUAAUACCCGGGUAUUACUUUCAGGAAGCCCGAACACCCCAAAUAUUUUUUUUUCAUUUUUCUUUUUUUUUGGUCUAACUAACUCCAAAAGGUUGGAAAAGAGUUCCUACAAAGGUUUUGGACAGUGAUUUUAACCCUAACGCCAAAAACCUUAAACCUUACCAUAGCCCCAUAACCUAAUACCCGGGUAUUACCUUCAGGAAGCCUGAACACCCCAAAUAUUUUUUUUUCAUUUUUCUUUUUUUUUUUUUUGGUCAAACUAACUCCAAAAGGUUGGAAAAGAGUUCCUACAAAGGUUUUGGACAGUGAUUUUAACCCUAACGCCAAAAACCUUACACCUUACCCUAGCCUUAAAAUAUAAUACCCGGGUAUUACCUUCAGGAAGCCUGAACACCCUAAAUAUUUUUUUCUUCAUUUUACAUUUUUGUUGGUGUAACCAACUCCAAAAGGUUGGAAAAGAGUUCCUACAAAGGUUUUGGACAGUGAUUUUAACCCUAACGCCAAAAACCUUAAACCUUACCCUAGCCCUAAACUAAUACCCGGGUAUUACUUCAGGAAGCCUGAACACCCCAAAUAUUUUUUUUUCAUUUUUCUUUUUUUUUUGGUCUAACUAACUCCAAAAGGUUGGAAAAGAGUUCCUACAAAGGUUUUGGACAGUGAUUUUAACCCUAACGCCAAAAACCUUAAACCUUACCCUAGCCCCAAAACCUAAUACCCGGGUAUUACUUUCAGGAAGCCUGAACACCCCAAAUAUUUUUUUUUCAUUUUUCUUUUUUUUUGGUCUAACUAACUCCAAAAGGUUGGAAAAAGAGUUCCUACAAAGGUUUUGGACAGUGAUUUUAACCCUAACGCCAAAAACCUUAAACCUUACCCU